GAUGAACGCUGGCGGCGUGCCUAAUACAUGCAAGUCGAGCGAACAGACGAGGAGCUUGCUCCUCUGACGUUAGCGGCGGACGGGUGAGUAACACGUGGAUAACCUACCUAUAAGACUGGGAUAACUUCGGGAAACCGGAGCUAAUACCGGAUAAUAUAUUGAACCGCAUGGUUCAAUAGUGAAAGACGGUUUUGCUGUCACUUAUAGAUGGAUCCGCGCCGCAUUAGCUAGUUGGUAAGGUAACGGCUUACCAAGGCAACGAUGCGUAGCCGACCCGAGAGGGUGAUCGGCCACACUGGAACUGAGACGCGGUCCUGGCUCCUACGGGAGGCACCAGUAGGGUAUCUUCCGCAAUGGGCGAAAGCAUGACGGAGCAACGCCGCGUGAGUUAUGAAGGUCUUCGGAUCGUAAAGCUCUGUUAUUAGGGAAGAACAAAUGUCUAAGUAACUAUGCACGUCUUGACGGUACCUAAUCAGAAAGCCACGGCUAACUACGUG
rnacentral:rRNA from 1 species